GAUGAACGCUGGCGGCGUGCCUAACACAUGCAAGUCGAGCGAAAAGACGAGGAGUUUGCGCCUCUGACGUUAGCGGCGGACGGGUGAGAAACACGAGGAUAACCCACCUAUAUGUCUGGGAUCACUACGGGAAACCGGCGCUAACACCGGAGAAUAUACUGAACCGUAGGGUUCAUUGGUGAAAGUCGGCUUUGCUGUCACUUAUAGAUGGAUAUGGGCUGCAUUAGCUAGUUGGUAGGGUAAAGGCUUACCAAGGCUAGGAGGCGUAGCCGACGUGAGAGGGUGGUCGGCCACACGGGAGCUGGGACACGGUCCAGACUCCUAAGGGAGGCAGCAGUAGGGAAUCUUCCGCAAUGGGCGAAAGCCUGACGGAGCAAGGCCGCGUGAGAGAUGAAGGUCUUCGGAUCGUAAAGCUCGGUUAUGGGGGAUGAACAGAUGUGUAAGUAACUAUGCACGUCGUGACGGUACCGAAUCAAAAAGCCACGGCUAACUACGUG
rnacentral:rRNA from 1 species